CCUACGGGAGGCAGCAGUGAGGAAUAUUGGUCAAUGGGCGGAAGCCUGAACCAGCCAAGUCGCGUGAGGGAAUACGGCCCUACGGGUCGUAAACCUCUUUUGCCGGGGAGCAAGGGCGGGCACAUGUGCCGGCACGGAGAGUACCCGGAGAAAAAGCAUCGGCUAACUCCGUGCCAGCAGCCGCGGUAAUACGGAGGAUGCGAGCGUUAUCCGGAUUUAUUGGGUUUAAAGGGUGCGUAGGUGGAUUGUUAAGUCAGUUGUUAAAGUGUGCGGCUUAACCGUAAGAUUGCAGUGGAAACUGGCGAUCUUGAGUGGGGGAGAGGUAGGCGGAAGGCGUGGUGUAGCGGUGAAAUGCAUAGAUAUCACGAAGAACUCCGAUUGCGAAGGCAGUACACGGGAGUGCAACGGACACUGAGGCACGAAAGUGUGGGGAUCGAACAGGAUUAGAUACCCGGGUAGUC
rnacentral:rRNA from 1 species